rnacentral:rRNA from 1 species
UUCGGAUCGUAAAACUCUGUUGUUAGGGAAGAACAAGUACGAGAGUAACUGCUCGUACCUUGACGGUACCUAGCCAGAAAGCCACGGCUAACUACGUGCCAGCAGCCGCGGUAAUA